rnacentral:rRNA from 1 species
ACGCUCGACACCUACGGAAGGCAGCAGUGGGGAAUAUUGCACAAUGGGGGAAACCCUGAUGCAGCGACGCCGCGUGGAGGAAGAAGGUCUUCGGAUUGUAAACUCCUGUUGUUGGGGAAAAAGAGGAUGGUACCCAACAAGGAAGUGACGGCUAACUACGUGCCAACAGCCGCGGUAAUCUGAGCGGGCUGGCAAGGC